rnacentral:rRNA from 1 species
AAGAGAGUGCAAGAGAACGUGAAACCGGAGUAAUGGAAGCGAAUGGAGCUGACGUAUCUAGUGCGUAUUCAGCGGAGUCGUUUCGAUGGCCAGUGUUGGGGUUUUUAAGGUCUUCUGCAAAGAGGCUGCCCGCACUUUGGCUGUUGUCGGUCUUCGUGCAUUUGCGUACGGAGUGCGCCGAGUGGCGUGGUUGCGGCGGACGAACCCGCGCUUAGAGGUCGUGUUCUUCGCGGGACGCGAAACCUGAGUGUUUUCGGCUAGUUCGACUUGCGGCUACGUUGCGCUCUUUGUUGAGGACGGUGGUUGAGGUUCGCGCGUUGGGCGUUGUGCUUGGUUCCGCUGGCUUUCGUGCACAUGUGUACGGGGCUUGUUUUCGGGAUGAGGCGCGCGUUCAACGUGCUCUUUUCCGUUCGUCUCGGCGUUCAGUCGGUGACCCAUUCGACCCGUCUUGAAACACGGACCAAGGAGUUUAUGGUAUACGCGAGUUAUUGGGUCUUUUCGAAGCCCAUAAGCGAAAUGAAAGUGAGACGCCUUACGGUGUUUGAGUACGAGCGGUGUGUUGGGUCCCGGAAACGGGCCGUACACCGUGCAGUACUGCCCCGUUUCGAGGAUUCGUUCCUGUUGCGGAGGUUGAGCGUAUGCUAUGAGACCCGAAAGAUGGUGAACUAUGCCUGAACAGGAUGAAGCCAGAGGAAACUCUGGUGGAGGUCCGAAGCGGUUCUGACGUGCAAAUCGAUCGUCUGAUUUUGGUAUAGGGGCGCAAGACUAAUCGAACCAUC